rnacentral:lncRNA from 1 species
UUUACAGUGUUCUGUCAACUUCUACUGUAAAGUGACCCAGUCAUACAUACAUACACAUUCUUUUUCUCACAUUAGCCUCCAUUACGUUCCAUCGCAAGUGCUUAGACACAGUUCCCUGUGCUAUACAGCAGGAUUUCACUGCUUAUCCACUCCAAAUGCAAUAGUUUGCAUCUAUUAACCCCAGGCUGCCAGUCCAUCCCAUUCCCUCCCCCUCUCCCUAGGCAACCACAAGUCUGCUGUCCAAGUCCAAGAGUUUCUUUUCUGUGGAAAGGUUCAUUUGUGCCGUAUAUUAGAUUCCAGAUAUUAAGUGAUAUCCUAUGGUAUUGACAAACUCUUUCUGACUUAUUUCACUUAGUAUGAGUCUCUAAUUCCAUCCACGUUGCUGCAAAUGGCAUUAGUUUGCCCUUUUUUAUGGCUGAGUAGUAUUCCAUGGUGUAAAUAUACCACAUCUUCUUAAUCCAUUCAUCUGCCGAUGGACAUUUAGGUUGUUUCCAUAUCUUGGCUAUUGCGAAUAAUGCUGCAACGAACACAGGGGCACAUGUGUCUUUUCCAAGGAAAGUUUUGCCUGGAUAUGUGACCAAGAGUGGGACUGCUGGAUCCUGUGGUGUUUCUAUAUUUAGUUUUCUGAGGCACCUCCAUACUGUUUUCCAUAGUGGUUGUACCAAUUUACACUCCCACCAGCAGUGUAGGAGGGCUCCCUUUUCUCCACACCCUCUCUAGCAUUUGUUAUUUGUUUCACGAUUCUAAGCAUCCUCCUCCAGCUGGGGCAGCCGGGACAUGCAGCGCAGAGUUUCUACUGCACUUGCAUGAGGCCCAGCAGCAGUCUUCCACCCUGUGGGCUUCUCCAGCAAGUUAAACUGCAGCGUUUCAUCACCAACAACCAACCUCUUCCACGUACCACCUCCCACAGUGUGCGACAAAAACCCUCUAAGAAAAGCACUAUUAUUUCCCCCAUUUUGAGGCAAUGAGGAAGUGGUCUACGGAAUUAGAAGUGAUUUGCCCUAAGUCACAGUUUCUCAGCACCACCAACACUCUGGGCUAGAGAACUCUCUAUUGUUGGGGGUGGCAGGUCGGGACAGGUUUCCAGGGGCUGCAGGAUGUUUAGUAGCAGCCCCACCUCUACCCACUAGAUGCCAGCAUCGGAACCCCUCCAGCUGUGACAACAAAUGUCUCCAGUCCUUGCCGUGUGUCCCCUGGGGGCCAAAUCAGGGAGGAAGCACUGUCCUGAGUGAUACUACAGCUCACAGCAGAGGACCCAGAGUCUCCCUCUUCUGCCACCCUUUGCUGCUGACAAGCCGAGGGGCCCAGCGGGCCCUAAAGGCAGGCCGGGGAGAAGCCCAUGGAGCGACAGGAUGAGGUUAAGGUGCAGCAAGUAUGCAAUGAUUUCUGGCAGACUCAGCCCCCAGCACAGUAACGCCUGGCUUUCUUCCUGUGCGGCCAAAGGCACCUCUGCACAUAUAAGAGAAUCUCAUUCUGCUCACUUAACAAAGAAUCUUAGAAAAGGAUCCUGCCUACGAGGCACACCUAGUGUAUGCAACACCCAGGAGGGAUCAUUUACUAAAACACUCUCCUCAUAGGACAAAAUUAUCUUCUGUAAUAGUUACAUAAAAAUCAGUUAGUUUCUUGAUUUGUUCUUUAGUAUUAGAACCAUCUGUUUUAAAACAUUACAUGUCAACUUUACUGAUAUCAUGCACAUUUAGUAAAACAUCUCCUGUGUGAACAAAAAUCUGUACUUACCAAGCAAAAACGUGACACAUCCAGGUUUGCACUGUUUUACUGCUUCAAUUUUUAAGCAGAAACAAAAACUCCUAAUGGGCACUUAAAACGACAGAAUUACAAACCUCAAUAAUACUGUUCAUUUCAAAUCUGUUUAAAUGCAGAAAUAAAUACUAUUAUAGGGGUCAAAUACAGGAAGAAUGUCUGAAGCAAGCUGGACUAAUUCCAAACUCCUAAAAAAGUCUCCUCUCCAAAUGAAUGCAUGUAGCCGAGUCCCCUGCCAUGUGUUGGGGGCCAACUGUAUAAUUAGGAGUCUGAUUUAAUUUCCACGUAGGAUACGAUGUCUAUGAAAGGCUAAGUACUUUAAAAGUACUCAUUCGAAGCUUACAUAUAUAUUAUUAAAAUUCAAGUUACCACAGCAAUUAUUCAAAACACACCAACAAAAGAUUUUUGUUGGAGGAAUAUGUUAUCACUGACAUUCAGAAUUACAGGCACAAUUCUAGACUUUCAAACUCUGCAGACAAACUUUUGGGUGGCUUUAUUAUUAUUAUUAAAUUCCCCACAGACAGAACAUCCCUUUACCACGCAGCCCUUGGCACACCAGUCUGCCUCGCAGGGUUCAAAUGGAAUUGAGAGUUCCAACCCAUAGAGCUGUUGGCUGCCAAAGAAUAACGGAAAGAGAAAAAUUACAAGAAAAGCAUCGUAAAAGAAACAAUGAAGCGGCGUGACCUCCGGGUCCCACUUCUAGUCUGACUCCAGCGCACUGCGUACAUCAGACAAGCUAAGAAACGGUGCAGGCAGUGCAGUGGAGAGUCAGCGCGCAGGCUUUGAAGGCUGGCUGCUGCUGUGCCACCCUGGGCAAGUUACUUCAUCUCUCUGGGCCUGUCAGUUUUCUCAUCUUCAAGAUGGAGAUAAAUAAUCUCUGCCCCGUGGGACGGUGGUAAGGUAAUAAAAGGAGGGCAGAGUUAAGUGCUCUGUACAUAACAGUCAGGGUACCUGGGAAAUAGCCUGACAUUCCUGAAUCAGGGAUGAGUAUAUAGGGAUU